rnacentral:rRNA from 1 species
GCGGCAGGCCUAACACAUGCAAGUCGAGCGGAAACGAUCCUAGCUUGCUAGGAGGCGUCGAGCGGCGGACGGGUGAGUAACGCGUGAGAAUCUACCCAUGAGUGGGGGACAACCCGGGGAAACUCGGGCUAAUACCGCAUACGCCCUACGGGGUAAAGCAGGGGACCUUUUGGCCUUGCGCUGAUGGAUGAGCUCGCGUCGGAUUAGCUUGUUGGUGAGGUAAAGGCUCACCAAGGCGACGAUCCGUAACUGGUCUGAGAGGAUGAUCAGUCACACUGGAACUGAGACACGGUCCAGACUCCUACGGGAGGCAGCAGUGGGGAAUAUUGGACAAUGGGCGAAAGCCUGAUCCAGCCAUGCCGCGUGUGUGAAGAAGGUCUUCGGAUUGUAAAGCACUUUAAGUUGGGAGGAAGGGCAGUAAGUUAAUACCUUGCUGUUUUGACGUUACCGACAGAAUAAGCACCGGCUAACUUCGUGCCAGCAGCCGCGGUAAUACGAAGGGUGCAAGCGUUAAUCGGAAUUACUUGG